rnacentral:rRNA from 1 species
CCGGACCGGCGCACGGGUGAGUAAACACGUAUGCAACCUGGGCCGUCACAGGUGGAUAACCGGAAGAAAUUCCGACUAAUACAGCAUAACACUCCUGAGGGACAUCCUUCGGGAGUCAAAGGAGGCAACUCCGGUGACGGAUGGGCAUGCGGCGCAUUAGGUAGUUGGUAGGGUAACGGCCUACCAAGCCGACGAUGCGUAGGGGUUCUGAGAGGAAGGUCCCCCACAUUGGAACUGAGACACGGUCCAAACUCCUACGGAAGGCAGCAG